UCCACGUUCUGCUGACAUCAGCUGGAGCUGGGGAAGCUCUGCAGGUGGGGCUCACCUGAGCAGGGCAGGCAAGCUUGGCCAGGUCACAGCGAGCUCCAGGUCCUUGUCCUCAGGGCUGCUCUUGAUCCCUUGGUCCCAGUCCGGUGUUGUGCUGGGGAGUGCCCAGACACAGAACCAGGACCUUCCCCUGGCCCUGCUGAACUCCGGGCGAAUUCAGGAGCCCACCUCUCCAGCCUGCCUGGAUCCUCCUGGAUCCCAGCUGGAUUUACAACCAGACACUCACACACACAACUCUUCUAUUUUAUGUAGCUCUGGCUACAUAUAAAUCUAUUUCCAUGUGUGUGGAUGUAUAUACAGGAUUAUAAAUAUAUUUAAUACAUUAUACAGAGAUACAUAUUUUCAUUCCUAUAACACAUACACAUGUAUUUCUAUAAUACAUACACAUAUAUUCUGACCAUCUCUCCUCUCACACUCCAUAAUAUAUUUUAUAUAUUUAAUAUAUGCAUUUUAAUAAAAUAUCUGGGUAUGUACACAGACACAGCCUUUCACACGUCUUUAUAUCUAUAUAUCUGUAUGUUUACACUAAAUCACACAUACCUUAAUAUGUCUCGCUCAGCCUCCUCUGGCCCUGCUGUGCUAGCAGCCAGAGCACGGCCAGCCCAUGCUGGGCUGGACUGGGCCUGUGCAGAGCCCCCACCAUGGGCAGAGCCCCCAGUGCUGCACAGCAGGGCUGGGCAGAGCCCCCACCAUGGGCAGAGCCCCCAGCACAGGCAGGAACCCCCUGUGCUAAGCAGGACGCCUGCCAGGAACAUCCAUUUGAAGGCUGCCCUCAGGUCACAGCCCUGCUGCUGAGGUUUCCCACCAUUCAGUUUAACCUUUCUGAAAGGUUCCCAGCGUGGUGCUGGGCUAAGCUGUCUCCCCACUUUUUUUCUCUUCAUUUGUUUUGUCCGUGCUGUUCAUUUUCAGAUCCAUUUGAACUGCUCUGUGGGCUGGACAACCCAGCUACAGGGAAUUAACCUCUCCCACAUCUCCAAACCAUCCUGAGUGCCAUCAGCAAGAGCAAACUUGGGGCCCUUCAACUUUCAGAAGAAUUACUGUUAGCACACCCUUCCAUAGACCAAACCCAGAGACUCUGUGGUGGGUUUCACUUCCAGGACAGAUCUACACCACUGCUCAGUGUUGUCUGGUUUACAGUACACAAUGCAAUGCAAAAAUACCACUCAUGUUUGUGUUUUCAAGCAACACUUACCACUGCUGGGCUCAUUGUAGUAUCGACUGAUGUAAUUAUUCAUGUCAUCCUCUGAAAGAUCAAAAAGGCAGCCCUUAGAAGACCAUUUAUUUAAUUAAAUGGCUGAAUCCCACCCCAUGGCAGGCCUUCCUCUCCCUGCAUGCCCAGAGCCACCUGCUCUGGAUUUUUAGGCCACAAUGCAUUAUACCCCCAUCCACGCUGUGGCUGCAGCCAACACAGGGAUUGGAUUAUCCUUUGUCACAGUCCUUUAGCGCACCAGCCUGGAGAUGAGGCAUUUUGGGCUCCAAAGGAAAGGUGCUCUGUGAUCUUUUCAGAGGCUGAUGCGGGGCUGGCCAGUUCCCCAGGCCUGUCCCCUUGCUGCUGUAGAGACAAACAUAACACUGGCCUUUCCCUGGUCAGCAGGGCCCUCCCCUCCUACACAGGGCACACAGAAAAAACCUUGUAUUUAUCCUGACAGGCUGAACCAAGGGCACCAGCACAGGCAGACUUAUUCCUGCUGUACACUGACAUCCCCAAGUCACCUCCUUCCCCACAGAAGAAAGGGAGACACCACGUAUGAUUUUAAUGUGUAAUUCCCUACCUUCUAAGAUGUCUUUUUUUUUCCAUUUCAAAUGAAUGAAGAGUUAUUUUGGUGUAUGUAACACAUGCAUAUAAAUAUACAGCAUAAUGUUAACAUUACACUAUUUGUUGGCUUAAAACCUACUAUGAAGUGUUCUACAAAUCAAGGGUGUAGUACUUAACUUGUAGUACAUGCAUGAGAGCUACACCUGAACUUCAACAACAGCAAGUUAAAAAUGAAGAUGUGACCACAGAAGGGAAAGCAACAGCUCUACUGCAUGGAUAGAUUUUAGAUGCUGCAGAUGACAAGGGAAUUUACUAUUAUCUUAUGGAAAAGCUGAACAUUUCACUGUUGUGGAAAAAGAAGAUUAAAUUCUCUUGUUCUGAGCAGAAGGCAAACACUGCUGCUAAGAAACAGUAUCAGCAGGGCUCGAGAAUGUCAGGCUUCCAAGCAACCUGACCUGCCCAGUUUGCGGUGUAUCUGUGCUCUAAAAGCAUUCUCUCCUUUUAAGUGCUCUUUUUGAUACUAUGUUUCAGAAACCCAUGCUCAUCCCUUUGAGCCAGAUUUCCUUCGUCCCCCUGGGCCUCUGUGGCUACAGUCCUGCCUCAUCACAGCACACUGCGGUUUGCAGGUGAAAGAAACAGAUGUUUUCUGGGGAACACUUUCCUCACACAACAAAACCCAAACCACCAAGCACUCUGUACCUGAAAUAGCUGCACUCAUAAGAAGGCAAUCUAACCUGACACUGAAAGGCAACGUGGUUGUUUUCCUGGUUUCAUUGGAUCUUAAAAGCUUUUUCGGCCCUUGUUGAUCUUUAAAUGCCUGCAGUCAGAGGUGUGCUUUGUGCUAAUGUCUGAGUUUAAAAAAGAAGCCUCAGAGUAGCUCAAGGCGAUGCCGCUGAAUUAGGAAUACAUUGCAAGGCUUUUCAGCUAUCUGCUACUAAAAUACACUUCAUUUCAAUCAUGCAUAAUUGAUACUCUCAGUGCCACCAAACCUGCCAGCCAUACAGACACAGGUUCUGGUUCAGGCAUGGAACCUUCAGAGGAUACCUGUGUAGCUGUACUUCUGGUAGGGCAUUUUCAGCAUCUUGAACUUGGAGUUCAGUUCUAAGCAGACAAACGAGGAAAACAGCACAGCACCCUGGCUGGACAAGGGUCACCCUCCUUGUCACCUGGCAAAAGCCACAAACUGGGUGCUCCCAGUACAGUCUCUCCAAAUGCCAAGACACUUUGCAUCAAAGACAGAAAACAGCUGGAAAAGUUACUCACUCUCUUUUCAUGUCUUAAAGACAAGGCUCAAAUCAAGGCUUCUUUAGAACUGCACACAUUUGCUGCCCUGCCACCUGUCUGACAGCUGACAGAAUGUACCAGGGCACUGUUCCCAAACCCAUCCAUUGUGUUCAAGUUAGCAAGGAGAACCAGGCUGCUCUUUAUGUCAGCAGUGGACAAUACCAAACACCUGCAGAGGAACUCCAGUAAUGCACUGCCCCUGCUCCUUUUGAGCUGUGAGGAGAAUUCUGGACUGGCCUGGCCCUGUGUGUGGCCACUUGCACACAAGACUGGGGGAGCUCCCAGCUGCCUACUUUAAUGCUCUUCUGUGAUGGCCUUAUUAAUGUCAUUGCUUACCACUGCUUAUCUUUUAGCUAUAAAUUAAAUAUAUACGUAGAAAUAUAUCCAUAUGUGCAUGUGUAUGUAAAUAUAAAACACAUAUAUUUAACCAUGAGUAGUUUCUUAUGAAUAAAAACCAAUAAAGAGUAAUGAAAUAACAGUAGCAGAAUAAAUACUUCAACAGAUUACGUUUCUGAAUCAUUACAUUAAAGCAAACUGACAAUUAACAAACUCAUCUGAGUCAUAUGGGAGUCUCAGCUGCUUUGGGCAUUGAAGGUUAUAAACAAUUCCAGUUACCUCCCAUUAUAUUCUACAUUGCUGAAAAAAAAGGAGUUCCAAAGAGUGCAACAAAUACACAACUGAAAGCACCUAUGUGUGCAUAUAAAAUGUACCCACAAAGCCACAGUUGUGCACAGUAACACAGAACACUGCUGAAGUGCUUGUGGGGAUUCCAAGAUUAAGUCCCUGCUUGGAGUGGGAAUCCCAUGGGAUCAGGAUCGGCUUGUGGCACACGGGAAGUUUGUAGGAGCAAGCAGGGAAGAGCAGCUUUUACAAGAGGGGCAGAGCACUUGCAUUAUUUACAUUCUACACAGUGUUUUCAGUUGCAGAAAGGGAGUUGUCUUAAGAAAUACUUAAUUCUUCAAAAUUUCCAUGGGGUUUUUAGAAACUUAAAAAAAAAAAUUUAUUUCUAUCACCUUGCAAUUUUCAGGACCCAGAUUUAAUUUUCUCCUUUCCUAGAAAUAAAUCCAUCUCCUCCAAUAUACAGAAAUGUUAACUUGCACUUCCUUUUCCAGAAGACAGACUUUGCAUCUUUAGCUAUAAGGAUGCCCAUAUGGUAUUUAUAUCAAACUAAAAAACUGGCAGUAAGUAGAAAGGAAAAGCAUUUCCCUCUUAAUUCCCAUGAAAACAGCAAUCUUAGGAAAAUGUCUGUGGAUGGUGACUGGGAUCCUCUUGCUACAUGUACCAGCAGGAAUCAUAGAAACUUUUCUCUUGGAAAAGGCCUUUAAGAUUGAGUCCACCAGUAAACCUAACACUGCCAAGCCCACCACUAAGCCAUGUCCCUCUGUGCCACAUCCACCCAUACAAAUGACCCCAAGGAAAUCUGGAUGACAGGAAAUUUAGUCAUGAAGAUCCAAAAGGUGUGAGCUGAGAAGGCAGAAUGGGGAGAGUGAGGCAGCUCUUCUCCAUGUGAAAACCUGUGGCAAACAAGGAUGGAUCUACAAUCUUUCCUGCAAAGUGGAAGUAUGGGAGGCAGUGAGAUCCACAGCAGCACUGUGGAGGAAUUCAGCUGAGUUCUGCUGAGCAGGAGAAGGAAGGAGCAGAACAGGCUGUUCUCUGUGAUCCAUGAGCAGUGUUUGCUCAAGCAGUGUGGGCUGACAGCUCCAAGAGGUGAGGCAGCAGAGACCACAAAUGGACAGUGAGGCCGACUCCAACAUGAUCGGUGCUUUCACUCCACAGAAGGGAAUAUCUGACUGGGAAGGCUGCUGAGACUCUGACCUAUCUCACAUAAACCCAACCUCCCCUGGCACUGUAACCAACCACUCCUGCAAGGCUGUUCACUGCAGUCCCAUCUCUUUUGCCUACUGCCCAAAUCCCUGUUAUUGAAAAAACGUGUGGUUCUCAGUCAGGAUCUGUCUGACAACCCACUGGAUUUUGUCUGAUGAAGGUUUCCAAGUUAUCUGCUUGUUCUUUUCCUGUAGGACUCAAAACACACACUGCAAUGGUUCAGGGAGUAAUAAACUAUUUAGAGUACAGUGCCAUAUAAUCUCAUCUGACCCGAGAGACAACAUCGCAAUCUCUCUCUCUUGGCCCCAUAAAAACCUAAUAAAUUUGGUGAAACAUAUAAAUGACAUUCUACCCAAGGCAGAUCUCUUUCAGCUCUAUAAUGCCUCAACAGCGAUUUUUAGUUGUUUCAUCAGUGCCUUCAGUGAAUGAUCUGCAACUCCCCUGCAUACAAGAAAAGGCCUUAAAAAGGUGGUUUUGUUUGAAAUAUUUCAUUAUUAGAGUGUUUUAUUUCAUAUUUUUAUUGCUAUUGGUUGUACUGCCUUCUGUCUCUCCAAGCUGAAUUUUCUGAACUGGAAGUUAUUUUUUCUGCUGUGCAGCCUCCCACUGAGGAAGUGGGUCCUCAGAGUAAUGUCUUACCCCAACUUCCCUCCAAAAAACAAUCUUUACUAGGAGGUUUCUAAAGAGGCAGGUCUUUCAUCUGUUUCAAUAGGAACCAGGAGUAGCCAGCUGGCACUUUCCAGGAGACUUCCCCUGCUUUUGGUUUGAAAACAGAUUGCCACAUUAGCACAAGCUGCAGUACUCACACCACUGUUAAUUCACAUACGCAUCCAGUCCCUGUAGAGGCUGGAUGGAUGCCUGAGCACAUGGAUAUUCCAUCUUGAGAGCAACUGUAAAGGCAGCUUGCAGAGAAAACAGAGCAACAGCUUCAGCCUGGUUCUAAGUAAGAAAUCAACCUGUGGUCGAAGUCAUUGUGCAAAAAGAAAUCUGGGAUAUGGAACAAGCUCUAUUAUCAGCAGAUGCUGCUGGGACAGAAACUCAAAAUCCUGACAACAAAUGGGGGGCUUUGGGCCUCACUUGAGCAGAUGAUGCAGCAAGAGCACUGUGAGCUGACUUGAGCAUGGCUGGGAUGCAGCACAGCUCUGUGGCAGCGUGGCUGUAGGCACAGGAUGGCCUGGGGAUUCUCAGUGCUCUUUCCAACCUUGUUCUCAAUGAGUAUGGAUCAGCAGAUCCACAUCUGAGUUGGCUCGUCACAGUCAGCCUGAAGCAGACUCAGAGGAACUUGGGUCUGCUUCUGUGAAACAGCAACAUCUCCUGAGUCUAAAAUAAAAAGGCUAAGGAAGAAUAUGGCUGCCACCAAAACAACCAUCAAGACAAGAAUAAAUUAAGCGAAAGGAUUCAAGAACAAACUGUUAUAAACUGGCAACAAAUGUAAUCUGAGAAUUAGGAAAAGACUUCUAAUACUUUAGAAACCAAGCUGCUGGAAUGGCGGCAGAGGGCAGAACACAUCACUGCUGUCACAGGAAGCACCAUCUGCUUAUGAAAGGGAUCAUUAUGAAAGGACUGCAUGCUUAGACAGUGGAAAACAUUCCAGUUCUGUGUUCCUUUACCUGUCAGCAAUGUCUUCACACAUCUUCACAUUAAUGAUGAGAGACAACUUCAACCUCACAGGCGUGACUGUAGGCUCAGCCCUUCUGGGAGUGAGCAGUUUCUACCCCACCCAUUUGGUGACUAUGAAAUACAAGAGCCUAACUCCACUAACUGCACACACAUUUCUCUAAGUGUUGCUUAAGGUUUAAUUCCUUUGAUUCCUGCCUGGAUGGUCAGUGCACAGGGAACCACAAAGCCUGAAAGAGGCACCUAGAGAGAAGCCAAGUUGAAGUGGCAUGCACUUAAGAUACUUAAGAUUUCCAGGAGUAGACUUCAAAGUAGAUACAUUUCAGCAUUUGAAAAUAACCAUAAACUAUUUUUUAUCUAUUGUUUUGCACUAACAGGGUUCUAUUAGAGCACUAACAGAUGAUCACCAAAGGAACUGGCUUAGAGUUUAAAAGCAUCCAACCAGCUCAGACUGCCUUGCAAGGAACAACUGACAAAAUCCUUUCCAGUGCCCUGCUUUGCCUUCUCAGACAGCUUAUGAAUAAUCUUAAGGGAAGCCCUCUGAAGCUCCAGAAUUUUUCAUGUUCCUCUCCCAAUAUCCUACUUUCUUCACUUACAAAACAGAAAUGACAUGUGAAAUCCUCUGUCUCGACUGCCUGUGCCCUGGACUGUGAACACUGAACACUACUACUGGUGUGGUGUCUCAUGCCAUCUGAGUUGGGCCCCGUGUUGGUAGCCCCGUGUGAUGACAGACUGCCACAGGCUGCUGGCCCUUGCUGUAAGAACACGGAAUUUUUUCUGUCCAGCUCCUGUCUCAUUCAACAGAAACUAGUUGUUCAAAUACAGCCACCGUAAUUUAGGUUCUGACAACAAGCACUCAAUGCAUCUAAAAGACUUUGUAUACAAUAUAUAAUACAAUGCACAAGAAACAUUUCCUCUGGUACUUUCAGAUGAUCUCCAGGAAAUGGAAAUUUAUUCUGCAUACUCAGUAUAAAUGUUUAAAUAUAACUGCACCUUACCCAA